rnacentral:rRNA from 1 species
GAUGAACGCUGGCGGCGUGCCUAAUACAUGCAAGUCGAGCGGUAAGGCCCUUCGGGGUACACGAGCGGCGGACGGCUGAGUAACACGUAGGAACGUACCCCAAACUGAGGGAUAAGCACCAGAAAUGGUGUCUAAUACCGCAUGUGGCCCACGGGCUAAAGCUCCGGCGGUUUGGGAACGGCCUGCGUCCGAUUAGCUAGUUGGUAGUGUAAUAGACUACCAAGGCGACGAUCGGUAGCUGGUCUGAGAGGAUGAUCAGCCAGACUGGGACUGAGACACGGCCCAGACUCCUACGGGAGGCAGCAGUAGGGAAUUUUCCACAAUGGGGGCAACCCUGAUGGAGCAACGCCGCGUGCAGGAUGAAGGCCUUCGGGUUGUAAACUGCUUUUAUCUGUGACGAUUAUGACGGUAGCAGAUGAAUAAGGACCUGCUAACUACGUGCCAGCCGCCGCAGUAA